rnacentral:rRNA from 1 species
UUAUGGCUCAGAACGAACGCUGGUAGCGUGGAUUAGGCAUGCAAGUCGAACGGGAUCCGGGAGGUAGCAAUACUUCCUGGUGAGAGUGGCGGAUUGGGGAGGAACACGUGAGCAACCUGCCUUGAGUCUGGGAAAACCGUUGGAAACGACGGCUAAUACCGGAUGUGGCGCCCGGCGACAUCGCCGGAGCGCUAAAGGGGGCCGCAAGGCUCUCGCUCGUAGAGGGGCUCGCGCACCAUCAGCUUGUUGGCGGGGUAACGGCCCACCAAGGCCUACGGUUAGCUGGUCUGAGAGGAUGACCAGCCCCACUGGGACUGAGAUACUGCCCAGACUCCUACGGGAGGCUGCAGUCGAGGAUCAUUUGCAAUGGGCGAAAGCCUGACAAUGCGACGCUGCGUGGAGGAUGAAGGCCUUCGGGUUGUAAACUCCUGUCAUGGGGGAACAGGCGAGGAAACCUAAUACGUUUCUUAGUUGAGUGUACCCCAAGAGGGAUUGGCGGCUAACUCUGUGCCAGCCGCCGC